AACGAACGCUGGCGGCAUGCCUAACACAUGCAAGUCGAACGAGACCUUCGGGUCUAGUGGCGCACGGGUGCGUAACGCGUGGGAACCUGCCCUUAGGUUCGGAAUAACUCCCCGAAAGGGGUGCUAAUACCGGAUAAUGUCUUCGGACCAAAGAUUUAUCGCCUUUGGAUGGGCCCGCGUUGGAUUAGCUAGUUGGUAGGGUAAAAGCCUACCAAGGCGACGAUCCAUAGCUGGUCUGAGAGGAUGAUCAGCCACACUGGGACUGAGACACGGCCCAGACUCCUACGGGGGGCAGCAGUGGGGAAUAUUGGACAAUGGGCGAAAGCCUGAUCCAGCAAUGCCGCGUGAGUGAUGAAGGCCUUACGGUUGUAAAGCUCUUUUACCCGGGAUGAUAAUGACAGUACCGGGAGAAUAAGCUCCGGCUAACUCCGUG
rnacentral:rRNA from 1 species